CUCCGCUCAGAAUCGUUUUUUCGUUAGCAAUGGUUAAUCGUUGCUUACAGAUAUGCAUUAAAUUACCUACAACAACAGUGCGGGCUGCACCCGUACCCAUUAUCCUAGGACAGUUUUUUCGUUACUAAAUCAUUUUGAACGUAAAAAAUAUUUCAGUCUUUGAGUUUGCCGAACGAUAUUUCUGACGGCUCUUAUUCGUCGUAUAUAUUUUUUUUUU